UAAUCUUAGAGACGGAUAUUUUUGUUCCUACGGCGAUAAUGACUGCAUUAAAAUACAAUAAGUAAUGAAAAUUGCAAUGAUUUUGAAUCAUCAAAAUACUGAAUGUAGACUACAUCGAUUGAUUUUAUAAGAAUAA